rnacentral:rRNA from 1 species
GACGAACGCUGGCGGCGUGCUUAACACAUGCAAGUCGAACGGAAAGGCCCUGCUUUUGUGGGGUGCUCGAGUGGCGAACGGGUGAGUAACACGUGAGUAACCUGCCCUUGACUUUGGGAUAACUUCAGGAAACUGGGGCUAAUACCGGAUAGGAGCUCCUGCUGCAUGGUGGGGGUUGGAAAGUUUCGGCGGUUGGGGAUGGACUCGCGGCUUAUCAGCUUGUUGGUGGGGUAGUGGCUUACCAAGGCUUUGACGGGUAGCCGGCCUGAGAGGGUGACCGGCAGCACGGGAGGUGAGAUGAGGCAGAGCCGCCUGGGGGGGGCAGCAGGGGGGGAGGGUGGACAAGGGGCUGCAGUCGGAUGCAGCACCGGCGCGUGAGGGAUGAAGGCCGGCGGAUGGUAAAACACUAGCGCCGGUGACGAAGGGUGAGUGAGGGGAAGGGGUAAAGGAGCGCGGAAUCGGGAGGUG